rnacentral:rRNA from 1 species
AUUGAACGCUGGCGGCAUGCCUAACACAUGCAGGUCGAGCGGAUGAAGGGAGCUUUCUCCUGGAGUCAGCGGCGGACGGGUGAGUAAUGCCUAGGAAUCUGCCUGGUUGGGGUGUAUAACGUCCUGAAACGGGCGCUAAUACCGCAGACUUCCUGAUGGUGAAAGUGGGGGAGCGUCGGACCUCACGCUAGCAUAGGAGCCUAGGUCGGAUUAGCUAGUUGGUGGGUUAAAGGCCUACCAAGGCGACGAUCCGUGAAUGGUCUGAGAGGCUGAUAGGUCACACUGGAAGUGAGACACGGUCCAGGCUACUACGGGAGGGCGCAGUGGGGUAUAUUGGACAACAGGCGAAAGCAUGACACAGUCAUGCCGAGUCUGUGACGACGGUCUUCGGAUUGUAAAGCACUUUAACUUGGGAGGAAGGGCAGUAAGCUAAUACCUUGCUGUUUUGACGUUAACAACAGAAUAAGCACCGGCUAACUUCGUG